GCCUUCUACCCCCCCCCCUCUACCUCCCUCUCUACCUGACCCUCUACCUCCCCCUCUAUCUAGCCUUCUACCUCCCCCUCUGCCUCCCUCUCUACCUGACCCUCCACCUCCCCCUAUCUAGCCCUCUACAUCUCCUCGACCUCCCCCUCGACCUCCCUCUCUACCUGACCCCUUACCUCCACCUUUACUUUCCACUCUACCUUCCAUCUACCUCCCCUCUAACUACUAUAGCUGUAUUUGACAAACUCUACCCUCUCUAACUCUGAGUGCAUCGCUAUAAUAUUUCCUUCUCCUGAAGUGCACACUGGUUCACCUGACAUAGGAAGGUCCAGCUGGCAGACCCCUGAGUCUCUCCGUACAGUAAGACUAAGGCUAUGUCCCAAUUAUCUCUCCUUCCUCCAAAAGUGUGGACUUGUUCACUUCCUUCAACUGAUUUGAAAGGAAAUGAUUGGUGUAAGAAAUAUGGUGGAAAUUCCAACUAGCCAAUGCCUCCACCAAUCCAAUUAUUUUAUAUUUACGGAAGUAGUGAACCAGUGCACAGGGCAGGCUCAGCAGGCUUGAAACGGAUACUCUUACUGCAGUAAGAGGAGCAGUAAGAGUAUCCGUUACUGUAAGCUCCUCUUACUGUAUCUAGGGGAAGGUAGCUCCUCUUACUGUAUCUAGGGGAAGGUAGCUCCUCUUACUCUAUCGAAGGGAAGGUAGCUCCUCUUACUGUAUCUAGGGGAAGGUAGCUCCUCUUACUGUAUCUAGGGGAAGGUAGCUCCUCUUACUGUAUCUAGGGGAAGGUAGCUACUCUUACUGUAUCUUGGGGAGGUAGCUCCUCUUACUGUAUCUUGGGGAAGGUAGCUCCUCUUACUGUAUCUAGGGGAAGGUAGCUCCUCUUACUGUAUCUAGGGGAAGGUAUCUCCUCUUACUGUGUCUAGGGGGGAGUUGCUCCUCUUACUGUAUCUAGGGGAAGGUAGCUCCUCUUACUGUAUCUAGGGGAAGGUAGCUAAUCUUACUGUAUCUUGGGGGGGUAGCUCCUCUUACUGUAUCUUAGGGAGGUAGCUCCUCUUACUGUAUCUAGGGGAAGGUACCUCCUCUUACUGUAUCUAGGGGAAGGUACCUCCUCUUACUGUAUCUAGGGGAAGGUAGCUCCUCUUACUGUGUCUAGGGGGGAGUUGCUCCUCUUACUGUAUCUAGGGGGAGUUGCUCCUCUUACUGUAUCUAGAGGAAGGUAGCUCCUCUUACUGUAUCUAGGGGAAGGUAGCUCCUCUUACUUUUUCUAGGGGGAGGUAGCUCCUCUUACUGUUUCUAGGGGAGGUUGCUCCUAAUACUGUUUCUAGGGGAAGGUAGCUCCUCUUACUGUAUCUAGGGGAAGGUAGCUCCUCUUACUGAAUCUAUGGGGAAGUUGCUCCUCUUACUGUAUCUAGGGGGAUCUAGGGGGAAAGUGUAUUUAGGGGAAGGUAGCUCCCCUUACUGUAUCGAGAGGGAGGUAGUUCCUCUUACGGUAUCUAAGGGGAUCUAGGGGAAGGUAGCUCCUCUUGCUGUAUCUAGGGGGAGGUAGUUCCUCUUACUGUAUCUAAGUGGAUUUAGGGGAAGGUGUAUCUAUGGGAAGGUAGCUCCUCUUACUGUAUCUAGGGGAAGCUAGCUCCUCUUACUGUAUCUGGGGGAAGGUAGCUCCUCUUACUGUAUCUAGGGGAAGGUAGCUCCUCUUACUGUAUAUGGGGGAAGGUAGCUCAUCUUACUGUAUGUAGGGGAAGGUAGCUCGUCUUACUGUAUGUAGGGGAAGGUAGCACCUCUUACAGUAUGUAGGGGAAGGUAGCUCCUCUUACCGUACCGAGGGGGAAGUUGCUCCUCUUACCGUGCCUAGGGGGAAGUCGCUCCUCUUACUGUAUCUAGGGGAAGGUAGCUCCUCUUACUGUAUCUAGGGGAAGCUAGCUCCUCUUACUGUAUCUGGGGGAAGGUAGCUCCUCUUACUGUAUAUGGGGGAAGGUAGCUCAUCUUACUGUAUGUAGGGGAAGGUAGCUCAUCUUACUGUAUGUAGGGGAAGGUAGCUCCUCUUACAGUAUGUAGGGGAAGGUAGCUCCUCUUACCGUACCGAGGGGGAAGUUGCUCCUCUUACCGUGCCUAGGGGGAAGUCGCCACUCUUACUGUAUCUAGGGGAAGGUAGCUACUCUUACUGUAUCUAGGUGAAGGUAGCUCCUCUUAUCGUACCUAGGGGGAAAUUGCUCCUCUUACCGUGCCUAGGGGGAAGUCGCCCUCUUACUGUUUCUAGGGGAAGGUAGCUCCUCUUACUGUAUCUUGGGGAGGUAGCUCCUCUUACUGUAUCUAGGGGAAGUUUUCUCCUCUUACUGUAUCUAGGGGAAGGUAGCUCCUCUUACUGUAUCUAGGGGAAGGUAGCUACUCUUACUGUAUCUUGGGGAGGUAGCUCCUCUUACUGUAUCUUGGGGAAGGUAGCUCCUCUUACUGUAUCUAGGGGAAGGUAGCUCCUCUUACUGUAUCUAGGGGAAGGUAUCUCCUCUUACUGUGUCUAGGGGGAGUUGCUCCUCUUACUGUAUCUUGGGGAAGGUAGCUCCUCUUACUGCAUCUAGGGGAAGGUAGCUCCUCUUACUGUAUCUAGGGGAAGGUAGCUCCUCUUACUGUAUCUAUGGGAAGGUACCUCCUCUUACUGUAUCUAGGGGAAGGUACCUCCUCUUACUGUAUCUAGGGGAAGGUAGCUCCUCUUACUGUGUCUAGGGGGGUUUGCUCCUCUUACUGUAUCUAGGAGAGUUGCUCCUCUUCCUGUAUCUAGACGAAAGUAGCUCAGCUCCUCUUACUGUAUCUAGGGGAAGGUAGCUCCUAUUACUGUUUCUAGGUGGAGGUAGCUCCUCUUACUGUUUCUAGGGGAGGUUGCUCCUAAUACUGUUUCUAGGGGAAGGUAGCUCCUCUUACUGUAUCUAGGGGAAGGUAGCUCCUCUUACUGAAUCUAUGGGGAAGUUGCUCCUCUUACUGUAUCUAGGGGGAUCUAGGGGGAAAGUGUAUUUAGGGGAAGGUAGCUCCCCUUACUGUAUCGAGAGGGAGGUAGUUCCUCUUACUGUAUCUAAGGGGAUCUAGGGGAAGGUGUAUCUAGGGGAAGGUAGCUCCUCUUGCUGUAUCUAGGGGCAGGUAGUUCCUCUUACUGUAUCUAAGUGGAUUUAGGGGAAGGUGUAUCUAUGGGAAGGUAGCUCCUCUUACUGUAUCUAUGGGAAGGUAGCUCCUCUUACUGUAUCUAGGGGAAGGUAGCUCCUCUUACUGUAUCUGGGGGAAGGUAGCUCCUCUUACUGUAUCUAGGGGAAGGUAGCUCCUCUUACUGUAUAUGGGGGAAUGUAGCUCAUCUUACUGUAUGUAGGGGAAGGUAGCUCAUCUUACUGUAUGUAGGGGAAGGUAGCUCCUCUUACAGUAUGUAGGGUGAGGUAGCUCCUCUUACCGUAUCGAGGGGGAAGUUGCUCCUCUUACCGUGCCUAGGGGGAAGUCGCUCCUCUUACUGUAUCUAGGGGAAGGUAGCUCCUCUUACUGUAUCUUGGGGAAGGUAGCUACUCUUACUGUAUCUAGAGGAAGGUAGCUCCUCUUCCUGUAUCUAGGGGAAGGUAGCUCCUCAAACUGUUUCUAGGGGAAGGUAGCUCCUCUUACUGUAUCGAGGGGAAGGUAGCUCCUCUUACUGUUUCUAGGGGGAGGUAGCUCCUCUUACUGUUUCUAGGGGGAUGUAGCUCCUCUUACUGUAUCUAGGGGAAGGUAGCUCCUCUUACUGUUUCUAGGGGGAGGUAGCUCCUCUUACUGUUUCUAGGGGGAUGUAGCUCCUCUUACUGUUUCUAGGGGGAGGUAGCUCCUCUUACUGUUUCUAGGGGAGGUAGCUCCUCAUACUGUUUCUAGGGGAAGGUAGCUCCUCUUACUGUAUCGAGGCGAAGGUAGCUCCUCUUACUGUUUCUAGGGGGAGGUAGCUCCUCUUACUGUUUCUAGGGGAGGUAGCUCCUAAUACUGUUUCUUGGGGAAGGUAGCUCCUCUUACUGUAUCUAGGGGAAGGUAGCUCCUCUUACAGUAUGUAGGGGAAGGUAACUCCUCUUACCGUACCUAGGGGGAAGUUUCUCCUCUUACCGUGCCUAGGGGGAAGUCGCUCCUCUUACUGUAUCUAGGGGAAGGUAGCUCCUCUUACUGUAUCUAGGGGAAGGUAGCUCCUCUUAAUGUAUCUAGGGGAAGGUAGCUACUCUUACUGUAUCUUGGGGAGGUAGCUCCUCUUACUGUAUCUAGGGGAAGGUAGCUCCUCUUACUGUAUCUAGGGGAAGGUAGCUCCUCUUACUGUAUCUAGGGGAAGGUACCUCCUCUUACUGUGUCUAGGGGGGAGUUGCUCCUCUUACUAUAUCUCGAGGAAGGUAGCUCCUCUUACUGUAUCUAGGGGAAGGUAGCUCCUCCUACUGUAUGUAGUGGGAAGUUGCUCCUCAUACUGUAUCUAGCGGGAGGUAGGUCCUCUUACUGUAUCUUAAGGAAGGUAGCUCCUCUUACUGUAUCGAGGGGAAGGUAGCUCCUCUUACUGUUUCUAGGGGGAGGUAGCUCCUCUUACUGUUUCUAGGGGGAGGUAUCUCCUCUUACUGUAUCUAGGGGAAGGUAGCUCCUCUUACUGUUUCUAGGGGAUGCUAGCUCCUCUUACUGUAUCUGGGGGAAGGUAGCUCCUCUUACUGUAUCUAGGGGGAAGUUGCUCCUCUUACUGUAUCUAGGGGGAGGAAAUUCCUCUUACUGUAUCUAGGGGAAGGUAGCUCCUCUUACUGUAUCUAGGGGAAGGUAGCUCCUCUUACUGUAUCUAGGGGGAGGUAGCUCCUCUUACUGUAUCUAGGGGAAGGUAGCUCCUCUUACUGUAUCUAGGGGACGGCAGCUCCUCUUACUAUAUCUAGGGGAAGGUAGCUCCUCUUACUGUAUCUAGGGGGAGGUAGGUCCUCUUACUGUAUCUAGGGGGAGGUAGGUCCUCUUACUGUAUCUAGGGGGAGGUAGGUCCUCUUACUGUAUCUAGG